rnacentral:rRNA from 1 species
AAGAAAGGGCCGGGCAAGACCGGUGCCAGCCGCCGCGGUAAUACCGGCGGCUCGAGUGGUGGCCACUAUUACUGGGCUUAAAGCGUUCGUAGCUGGCUUGUUAAGUCUCUGGGGAAAUCUUCCGGCUCAACCGAAAGGCGUCCNUGGGAUACUGGCAGGCUAGGGACCGGAAGAGGUGAGAGGUACUCCNGGGGUNGGAGUGAAAUCCUGUAAUCCUUGGGGGACCACCUGUGGCGAAGGCAUCUCACCANNACGGCUCCGACAGUGAGGAACGAAAGCUGGGGGAGCAAACCGGAUUAAAUACCCGGGUAGUCCCACCUGUAAACNAUGCACGUUAGGUGUAUCGGUGACCACGAGUCACCGAGGUGCCGAAGAGAAAUCNUGAAACGCNCCGCCUGGGAAGUACGGUCGCAAGGCUGAAACUUA